AUUGAACGCUGGCGGCAGGCCUAACACAUGCAAGUCGGACGGUAGCACAGGGGAGCUUGCUCCUCGGGUGACGAGUGGCGGACGGGUGAGUAAUGUCUGGGAAACUGCCCGAUGGAGGGGGAUAACUACUGGAAACGGUAGCUAAUACCGCAUAACGUCGCAAGACCAAAGUGGGGGACCUUCGGGCCUCACACCAUCGGAUGUGCCCAGCUGGGAUUAGCUAGUAGGUGGGGUAAUGGCUCACCUAGGCGACGAUCCCUAGCUGGUCUGAGAGGAUGACCAGCCACACUGGAACUGAGACACGGUCCAGACUCCUACGGGAGGCAGCAGUGGGGAAUAUUGCACAAUGGGCGCAAGCCUGAUGCAGCCAUGCCGCGUGUAUGAAGAAGGCCUUCGGGUUGUAAAGUACUUUCAGCGGGGAGGAAGGCGGUGAAGUUAAUAACUUCACCGAUUGACGUUACCCGCAGAAGAAGCACCGGCUAACUCCGUGCCAGCAGCCGCCGCAG
rnacentral:rRNA from 1 species